AACGAACGCUGGCGGCAGGCUUAACACAUGCAAGUCGAGCGCCCCGCAAGGGGAGCGGCAGACGGGUGAGUAACGCGUGGGAAUCUACCCAUCUCUACGGAAUAACGCAUGGAAACGUGUGCUAAUACCGUAUACGUCCUUCGGGAGAAAGAUUUAUCGGAGAUGGAUGAGCCCGCGUUGGAUUAGCUAGUUGGUGGGGUAAAGGCCUACCAAGGCGACGGUCCAUAGCUGGUCUGAGAGGAUGAUCAGCCAGACUGGGACUGAGACACGGCCCAGACUCCUACGGGAGGCAGCAGUGGGGAAUAUUGGACAAUGGGCGCAAGCCUGCUCCAGCCAUGCCGCGUGAGUGAUGAAGGCCCUAGGGUUGUAAAGCUCUUUCACCGGUGAAGAUAAUGACGGUAACCGGAGAAGAAGCCCCGGCUAACUUCGUGCCAGCCGCCGCGGUAAAAC
rnacentral:rRNA from 1 species